AAUCAACGCUGGCGGCGUGCCUCAGACAUGCAAGUCGAACGCGAAAUUUCCCUUCGGGGAGAAAGUAGAGUGGCGCACGGGUGAGUAACACGUAGGUAAUUUGCCUUUGGGUGGGGAAUAACUCAGGGAAACUUGAGCUAAUACCGCAUAAUGCAGCGGCUCGACAUCGAGACAGUUGUUAAAGCGGGGGAUCGCAAGACCUCGCGCCUAAAGAGAAGCCUGCGGCAGAUAGCUAGUUGGUAAGGUAAUGGCUUACCAAGGCGACGAUCUGUAACCGGCCUGAGAGGGCGGUCGGUCACACUGACACUGACAUACGGGUCAGACUCCUACGGGAGGCAGCAGUCGGGAAUUUUGGGCAAUGGGCGAAAGCCUGACCCAGCAACGCCGCGUGAA
rnacentral:rRNA from 1 species